UACGUAGGGUGCAAGCGUUGUCCGGAAUUAUUGGGCGUAAAGAGCUCGUAGGCGGUCUGUCGCGUCGAAUGUGAAAACCCGGGGCUCAACCCCGGGCCUGCAUUCGAUACGGGCAGACUAGAGUUCGGUAGGGGAGUCUGGAAUUCCUGGUGUAGCGGUGAAAUGCGCAGAUAUCAGGAGGAACACCGGUGGCGAAGGCGGGACUCUGGGCCGAUACUGACGCUGAGGAGCGAAAAGCGUGGGGAGCGAACAGG
rnacentral:rRNA from 1 species